AUUGAACGCUGGCGGCAUGCCUUACACAUGCAAGUCGAACGGCAGCACGGGAGCAAUCCUGGUGGCGAGUGGCGAACGGGUGAGUAAUAUAUCGGAACGUGCCCAGUCGUGGGGGAUAACGUAGCGAAAGCUACGCUAAUACCGCAUACGAUCUAUGGAUGAAAGCGGGGGAUCGCAAGACCUCGCGCGAUUGGAGCGGCCGAUAUCAGAUUAGGUAGUUGGUGGGGUAAAAGCCCACCAAGCCGACGAUCUGUAGCUGGUCUGAGAGGACGACCAGCCACACUGGGACUGAGACACGGCCCAGACUCCUACGGGAGGCAGCAGUGGGGAAUUUUGGACAAUGGGCGCAAGCCUGAUCCAGCCAUGCCGCGUGAGUGAAGAAGGCCUCGG
rnacentral:rRNA from 1 species